AAGCAGGGGAUCGUAAGGCCUUGCGCUUUUGGAGCGGCCGAUGUCUGAUUAGCUAGUUGGUGGGGUAAGGGCCUACCAAGGCGACGAUCAGUAGUUGGUCUGAGAGGACGACCAGCCACACUGGGACUGAGACACGGCCCAGACUCCUACGGGAAACAACAGUGGGGAAUUUUGGACAAUGGGCGAAAGCCUGAUCCAGCAAUGCCGCGUGAGUGAAGAAGGCCUUCGGGUUGUAAAGCUCUUUCAGUCGAGAAGAAAAGGCUACGGUAAAUAAUCGUAGUUCAUGACGGUACCGACAGAAGAAGCACCGGCUAACUACGUGCCAGCAGCCGCGGUAAUACGUAGGGUGCGAGCGUUAAUCGGAAUUACUGGGCGUAAAGGGUGCGCAGGCGGCUUUGUAAGUCAGAUGUGAAAUCCCCGGGCUUAACCUGGGAAUUGCGUUUGAAACUACAAAGCUAGA
rnacentral:rRNA from 1 species